rnacentral:lncRNA from 1 species
GACAUCAAGCAAGUCCCAGUUACAGAAAGAACCCACUGCAGGGCGUCCAGUCACUUGCCCAGUGAAAAGACUGUAAUCAGACAACUUUAAUAAAGGGAGAGCAGGAGAGUGGUGACGAAUUUCCACAUUCCGAACAAGCUUGUCGAAAGAGGAGUGCAGGGAAGGAGCAAGAAUGAGGCACUGGAAGACGGCUGUAGGCGCAUGAUGUCACAAGUUAUUGGAAGAAAUCCCUCCAACCUAGGUUGGGACAGAUGAAGGCGGCGCUUAUUGGUGUUCACCAAAACACCAGCAUGGUGUACCAGCUUUGGCUAGAUGAUGCUCAGGAAAACACAGAUCCUGGUGCCGAACAUGAGGACAGGGCAGGCCGAAGGAGAAAGUGGAAGGAGGGGAGCUUCUCUCUCAGCCUCAUCCUUCUGGGCCUGGAUGCUGGAGAGUCAUGAGGUGCUUCAGAGUACUCUGGGUGAGGAGGGAAAGAUGGUGCCCACCACAUGGAGGCCAGCCUAGGUCUUGUAUGAAACCUGUGAGGAGAUUCUCUCUCCCUUGCUGUCUUUGAAAAAGCAAGUUGCCAUGUGAAGAGGGCCAUAUAGCAUAGGAGCUGAAGGCAGCCUCCAACUGACGGCAAGAAAAUGAGGUCCUCAGUCUGACAACCUGCAAGAAACUGAAUGUUCUAAAAGCCACAUGAGCUUGGGAGCAGAUCUGACCCCAGCCAAAUCUCUGAAGUCCGCAGGCAGGAAAUGAAGAUCAGAAAAAGGCUAUUGUCUCAUGAAUAUGAGCCAGACUCCACAGAAGCUGGAGUCCUUCAUUAUGGAGCUAAACACAUACACCUGGCUUAGGAGUCAGAAAAACUGAAAGAGAAUUCAGGGAAGUAGAGAAAUUGCAAGCCCAGAUGCUGCUUCAUACCAAAGAAGCAAGUCAGCAGGUCAGCAACAAUGUGUAUCAGUUCCAAAAUGACUUACACAGGUACCAAGACAAGACAUUAUAUACACUUAUAUAGUCAAAUACUUUAAAACUGUUAACAAACUUGCUACAAUUGUCUCAUUUGUCUUUUAACCUUAAUAUCACAGAUCAAGUUUGUAAUCUCAAAAGUUCACCCUGGCUGCUGUGUGGAGUAUUCUCUUAUCUGCUCAUAUUACACUGUGCUUAUUCAUUCAUCAGUUAAUGGAAAUUUGGGUUGUUUCCUGAUUUUGACUGUAAUGAAUAAUGUUGCUGUAAACAUUCAUGUACAGUUUUGUGUGGACAUGCUUUUCUUUCUCUUGGGUAGGUUCCUAUGAGUGGAAUCACUAGAUUGUAUGGUAAAUGUAUGUUUAACUUUUAAAGAAACUGUCAAACUGUUUUCUAACAUGAACGGGCCAUUUUACGUUCUUAUCAACAAUAUAUGAUGGUUUCAAUUUUCCCACAUCCUCACCAACAUUUGGUAUUGUCUCUCUUUUACAUCAUAACUAUUUUAGUGGGGAUGUAGUGAUAUCUUAUCGUGGUUUUAAUUUGUGUCUCCCUAAUGACUAAUGAUAUUGUGCAUCUUUGCAUAUGCUUGUUAGCCAUUUAUGUACAUUCUUUAGUGAAAUGGCUAUUCAAAUCUUCUGCCCAUUUAAAAAUCGAGUUGUUUUUCUUAUUAUUCAGUUGUAAGAGUUUUUUCUUUAUUCUGUGCAAAAGUCCUUUAUCAAGUCUAGGAUUUUUGAAUAUUUUCUCAACCUAGAGCUUGUUUUUCAACAUUUUUUUCUUAAUGAUCUUUUGAAGUGCAAAAGUUUGAUUUUGAUGAAGUCUAAUGUAUCACUUCUUCCUUUAACUGUCAUGAUUUUUGUGUCGUAUCUAAGAACUCUUUACCCAACUCAAAGUUACCAAGGUAUUUUCUUCCAGAAGUUUUGCAGUUUUAACUCUUCUAUAUAGGCCUGUGAUCCAUUUUUAAUUCAUUUUUUGCAUAUGAUGUGAGAGAAGGGCCUAAGUUCAUAUUCGUACAUGUGGAUGUACAAUGGUUCCAGGAUCACUUGCUGAGAAAAGACUAUCCUUUCCCCAUUGAUUUUUUUGGCACCUGUGUCAAAAAUCAAUUGACCAUAAAUGCAAGCGUUUAUAUCUGAACUCUCAGUUCUUCUCCAUUCAUCUCUAAGGAUAUGUCUAUGCUUACAUCAAUAUCACAGUGUAUUCAUGUGGCUUUGUAGUAAAUUUUGAAAUUGGGUGAUA